CGACGUCCCUGCUCCAGGAGGUGACAGAGCCAACAGGUGGCCCCUGGGGUGCCACGGGGCAGGGGGCGGACAGGCUUCCAUCCGAGGACCUCGGCCUCGGGCCUCCCCGCCUCCCGACGCCGCUCACCCCGAGGUAGAGGAAGGAUCGCGCUCCUGUUAUUUGAUGGGUCUCCCAUGUGCCGUGUAAGGAAACCACCUUUCUUCACACGCAAAUACCCCUUCCGGGCAGUUCUAGCCUCCGCGCCUUCAUGCCCCUUCCCAGCAGCCAGUUUGACCCCUCGGCCUCCAGCGAGCCCCCUGUGACGGUCACUGGAGAAUGAAUGGCGUGCAAAGCGAAUGGACAUACAGUGCUAUGUUGCGUGGUUCAAGCCGGAGGGGUUCUCCUUAAACCUCAGUGAAGACUCUAGAUGAGAUGGACACACAGAUUUUCACGGGAGAAGUGAGCCACCUGGUAUGGACUGAGGGGAAGCAGCGUGCUUAAAUUCAGGAAAUCAGAAAGCUAUCUCCAAUACUGUAGUUAAAAUUUUGAACUCCUGGUCUUCACCUGGGCUUUAGUGCUUCACUAAGUUGAUGAAGUUUGUUUUUAAUAAUCUUUAUUGCUUUUUCUUUUCCACGCAGAACAUGUACAGAUAGUCGAUUAAUUUUUGGUUGACCUAUUACAAAAAAAUUUAGAAAUGUAUCUAAAGAAGAAAAUUUAAAUUGCCCUUAAUCUCACUAUCCACAGGUAACGAAUGUUAACAUUUUUUUUUAAUGUUAACAUUUUGAUGUUUGUCUUUCCAAACUUGGAUCUGUAAAUGUGCAUGUAUACUCGUACAUAUCCAUGUAUCCCCCAAUACUUGUUUUUGCAAAAAUGAAGUCUUGCUAUAUAUGUGUUUUUUUUGUAGCUUGCCUUUUUCUAUUUAUGUACUUUUAUCUCUUUCCACAUUAAUAAAUACAUGUCUUUACCAAUA